rnacentral:rRNA from 1 species
GCAUGGCUGUCGUCAGCUCGUGUUGUGAAAUGUUGGGUUAAGUCCCGCAACGAGCGCAACCCUUAUCCUUUGUUGCCAGCGGUCCGGCCGGGAACUCAAAGGAGACUGCCAGUGAUAAACUGGAGGAAGGUGGGGAUGACGUCAAGUCAUCAUGGCCCUUACGACCAGGGCUACACACGUGCUACAAUGGCGCAUACAAAGAGAAGCGACCUCGCGAGAGCAAGCGGACCUCAUAAAGUGCGUCGUAGUCCGGAUUGGAGUCUGCAACUCGACUCCAUGAAGUCGGAAUCGCUAGUAAUCGUGGAUCAGAAUGCCACGGUGAAUACGUUCCCGGGCCUUGUACACACCGCCCGUCACACCAUGGGAGUGGGUUGCAAAAGAAGUAGGUAGCUUAACCUUCGGGAGGGCGCUUACCACUUUGUGAUUCAUGACUGGGGUGAAGUCGUAACAAGGUAACCGUAGGGGAACCUGC